GACGAACGCUGGCGGCGUGCUUAACACAUGCAAGUCGAACGGUGAAGGGACUGGUUUUGCUGGUCCUGGAUGAGUGGCGAACGGGUGAGUAACACGUGAGUAACCUGCCCCCUUCUUCUGGAUAACCGCAUGAAAGUGUGGCUAAUACGGGAUAUUCUGGGCCUGUCGCAUGGUGGGCCUGGGAAAGAUUGCGCCUUCUUUGGUGUUUUUGGUGGGGGAUGGGCUCGCGGCCUAUCAGCCUGUUGGUGUGGUGAUGGCCUACCAAGGCGGUGACGGGUAGCCGGCCUGAGAGGGGGCACGGUCACGAUGGGACUGAGACACGGCCCAGACUCCUACGGGAGGCAGCAGUGGAGUAUAUUGCACAAUGGGCGAAAGCCUGAUGCAGCGACGCCGCGUGAGGGAUGGAGGCCUUCGGGUUGUGAACCUCUUUCGGCAGUGAAGCAGGCCUGCCUCUUUUUGUGGGUGGGUUGACGGUAGCUGGAUAGGAAGCGACGGCUAACUACGUG
rnacentral:rRNA from 1 species